GCUCGAGUGGCGAACGGGUGAGUAACACGUGAGUAACCUGCCCUUGACUUUGGGAUAACUUCAGGAAACUGGGGCUAAUACCGGAUAGGAGCUCCUGCUGCAUGGUGGGGGUUGGAAAGCUCCGGCGGUUGGGGAUGGACUCGCGGCUUAUCAGCUUGUUGGUGGGGUAGUGGCUUACCAAGGCUUUGACGGGUAGCCGGCCUGAGAGGGUGACCGGCCACAUUGGGACUGAGAUACGGCCCAG
rnacentral:rRNA from 1 species